UACAGAAGGUGCGAGCGUUAAUCGGAAUUACUGGGCGUAAAGGGUGCGUAGGUGGUUAGAUAAGUUAGAUGUGAAAGUCCCGGGCUUAACCUGGGGAUGGCGUCUAAUACUGUUUAGCUAGAGUACUGUAGAGGAAAGUGGAAUUUCCGGUGUAGCAGUGAAAUGCGUAGAUAUCGGAAGGAACAUCAGUGGCGAAGGCGACUUUCUGGACAGAUACUGACACUGAGGCACGAAAGCAUGGGGAGCAAACAGG
rnacentral:rRNA from 1 species